AGUGAACGCUGGCGGUAGGCCUAACACAUGCAAGUCGAACGGCAGCACAGUAAGAGCUUGCUCUUACGGGUGGCGAGUGGCGGACGGGUGAGGUAUACAUCGGAAUCUACUUUUUCGUGGGUGAUAACGUAGGGAAACUUACGCUAAUACCGCAUACGAUCUACGGGUGAAAGCAGGGGAUCUUCGGACCUUGCGCGAUUGAAUUAGCCGAUGUCGGAUUAGCUAGUUGGCGGGGUAAAGGCCCACCAAGGCGACGAUCCGUAGCUGGUCUGAGAGGAUGAUCAGCCACACUGGAACUGAGACACGGUCCAGACUCCUACGGGAGGCAGCAGUGGGGAAUAUUCGACAAUGGGCGCAAGCCUGAUCCAGCAAUACCGCGUGGGUGAAGAAGGCCUUCGGGUAGUAAAACCCUUUUAUUGGGAAAGAAAAGCAGCAGGUUAAUCCGUCGCUGUUCUGACGGUACCCAAAGAAUAAGCACCGGCUAACUUCGUG
rnacentral:rRNA from 1 species